UCCCUGGAGGUCCAGUGGUUAAGACUCCGCACUGCCAAUGCAGGGGUUGCAGGUUCGAUCCCUGCUUGGGGAA